GGGUGGGAUCAUGCCAGCACUAAUGCACCGGAUCGCAUUAGAACUCAGAUGUUAAGCGUGCUUGGGCAACAGUAGUACUAGGAUGGGUGACCUCUUGGGAAUUCGUCGUGUUGCACCCC